rnacentral:rRNA from 1 species
GCUGCGUAUGGCUCGUUAUAACAGCUAUAAUUUACUUGAUCUUGACACAAUCCUACUUGGAUAACUGUGGUAAUUCUAGAGCUAAUACAUGCAUUAAAGCUCUGACCUCACGGGAAGAGUGCAUUUAUUAGAACAAAACCAAGCGGCCUCGGCUGUUUUCGGUUGACUCAUAGUAACUGAGCUGAUCGCAUGGUCUUGCACCGGCGACGUGUCUUUCAAGUAUCUGCCGUAUCAACUUUCGAUGGUAGUGUAUCUGACUACCAUGGUGAUCACGCGUAACGGAGAAUAAGGGUUCGGCUCCGGAGAGUUCGCCUGAGAAAUCGCGAACACAUCUAAGGAAGGCAGCAGGCGCGAAAAUUACCCACUCUCAGCACGAGGAGGUAGUGACGAAAAAUAACGAGACCGUUCUCUUAUGAGGCCGGUCAUCGGAAUGGGUACAAUUUAAACCCUUUAACGAGUAUCUAUGAGAGGGCAAGUCUGGUGCCAGCAGCCGCGGUAAUUCCAGCUCUCAAAGUGCAUAGAAUUAUUGCUGCGGUUAAAAAGCUCGUAGUUGGAUCUGUGCCUGUGGACGUGGUCCACCUUCGGGUGCGCACUACGCUCCUAGGCUUUUUGCUGGUUUUCCCGUCGUAGCCUUCGCCGGUUGCGGCGGGUGGCUGGCGAGUUUACUUUGAGAAAAUCAGAGUGCUCAAUACAGGCGUAUCGCUUGAAUGAUUGUGCAUGGAAUAAUAGAAAAGGAUUUCGGUCCUCUUUUAUUGGUUUUGUGGACUGAGAUAAUGGUUAACAGGGGACAAACGGGGGCAUUCGUAUUUCUGCGUGAGAGGUGAAAUUCUUGGACCGUAGAGAGACGCCCUACUGCGAAAGCAUUUGCCAAGAAUGUCUUCAUUAAUCAAGAACGAAAGUCAGAGGUUCGAAGGCGAUCAGAUACCGCCC